rnacentral:rRNA from 1 species
UACGAAGGGGGCUAGCGUUGUUCGGAAUUACUGGGCGUAAAGCGCACGUAGGCGGGUUGUUAAGUCAGGGGUGAAAUCCUGGAGCUCAACUCCAGAACUGCCUUUGAUACUGGCAACCUAGAGACUGGAAGAGGUUAGUGGAAUUCCCAGUGUAGAGGUGAAAUUCGUAGAUAUUGGGAAGAACACCAGUGGCGAAGGCGGCUAACUGGUCCAGCACUGACGCUGAGGUGCGAAAGCUAGGGGAGCGAACGGGAUUAGAUACCCGUU